rnacentral:miRNA from 1 species
CUCCAGAUGUUGCUGAACUACAACUCCCAUGAUUCUUAUCCUAUUUAUUUCAUUUAUAGAAUCAUGGGAGUUGUAGUUCAGCAACAUCUGGAG